UCAGAAUCAGGUUGUUCAAACCUGAGGUUGAACUGCAAAAAGGUUACGAAGUGACACUCAGUAGGGCCCGAAUCCAUGUUUUCUUUGAUCCCAAUCUUUUUUAAAAAAAUUUCUUUUAAUUACUUGCCAACAUUUUAGAAUUUGGAAAUCUCACAUGAAAUUCUGGACUUUUGAAGCUGAGGAAUUCCAUUGCAACAAUCAAGGAGACUAAAUAGGAAAUGACACUUCUGUUUGGCCAUCUUGCCCUCAUUGGUUUAGAAUGGCAGUGGUUCUCAACCCUGGCUGCACAUUAGAAUCACUUUAGGAGAGGUAAAACCAUACUCACGCUGGAGACCUACUCCUAGAAAUUCUAAAGAGUUUGGGGCUGGGAACUGGCCAUUGAUCUGCCUUUGAAGUUUCCCAAGUGAUUCCCAACCUCUGAUGUAAUAAAUUUCUGGCUGCUGUCGUAUUUGAGAUUUGACCCCCCCAGGUCUAAGACUUAAUUGAUUUUUAAGGCUGUAAGACAUUUCUAAGACUUUGACUUUUAAGACUUUCCUGCCUC
rnacentral:lncRNA from 1 species